rnacentral:rRNA from 1 species
GCUACACAUGCAGUCGAGCGGAUGAGUGGAGCUUGCUCCAUGAUUCAGCGGCGGACGGGUGAGUAAUGCCUAGGAAUCUGCCUGGUAGUGGGGGACAACGUUUCGAAAGGAACGCUAAUACCGCAUACGUCCUACGGGAGAAAGCAGGGGACCUUCGGGCCUUGCGCUAUCAGAUGAGCCUAGGUCGGAUUAGCUAGUUGGUGAGGUAACGGCUCACCAAGGCGACGAUCCGUAACUGGUCUGAGAGGAUGAUCAGUCACACUGGAACUGAGACACGGUCCAGACUCCUACGGGAGGCAGCAGUGGGGAAUAUUGGACAAUGGGCGAAAGCCUGAUCCAGCCAUGCCGCGUGUGUGAAGAAGGUCUUCGGAUUGUAAAGCACUUUAAGUUGGGAGGAAGGGCAGUAAGUUAAUACCUUGCUGUUUUGACGUUACCGACAGAAUAAGCACCGGCUAACUUCGUGCCAGCAGCCGCGGUAAUACGAAGGGUGCAAGCGUUAAUCGGAAUUACUGGGCGUAAAGCGCGCGUAGGUGGUUCAGCAAGUUGGAUGUGAAAGCCCCGGGCUCAACCUGGGAACUGCAUCCAAAAACUACUGAGCUAGAGUACGGUAGAGGGGUGGUGGAAUUUCCUGUGUA